AUGAACGCUGGCGGCGUGCCUAAUCCAUGCCAGUCGCGCGAACAGACGAGGAGCUUGCUCCUCUGACGUUAGCGGCGGACGGGUGAGUAACACGUGGAUAACCUACCUAUAAGACUGGGAUAACUUCGGGAAACCGGAGCUAAUACCGGAUAAUAUAUUGAACCGCAUGGUUCAAUAGUGAAAGACGGUUUUGCUGUCACUUAUAGAUGGAUCCGCGCCGCAUUAGCUAGUUGGUAAGGUAACGGCUUACCAAGGCAACGAUGCGUAGCCGACCUGAGAGGGUGAUCGGCCACACUGGAACUGAACCACGGUCCAGACUCCUACGGGAGGCAGCAGUAGGGAAUCUUCCGCAAUGGGCGAAAGCCUGACGGAGCAACGCCGCGUGAGUGAUGAAGGUCUUCGGAUCGUAAAACUCUGUUAUUAGGGAAGAACAAAUGUGUAAGUAACUAUGCACGUCUUGACGGUACCUAAUCAGAAAGCCACGGCUAACUACGUG
rnacentral:rRNA from 1 species